UACGUAGGGUGCGAGCGUUGUCCGGAAUUAUUGGGCGUAAAGAGCUUGUAGGCGGUUUGUCGCGUCUGCUGUGAAAAUCCGGGGCUCAACCCCGGACUUGCAGUGGGUACGGGCAGACUAGAGUGUGGUAGGGGAGACUGGAAUUCCUGGUGUAGCGGUGAAAUGCGCAGAUAUCAGGAGGAACACCGGUGGCGAAGGCGGCAUCCUGGACCGAGACUGACACUGAGGAGCGAAAGCCAGGGGAGCAAACGGG
rnacentral:rRNA from 1 species